UCAGGCCUAACACAUGCAAGUCGAACGAGAUUAUAGGGUAAGCUUGCUUACCUUAUAUGACAGUGGCGCACGGGUGCGUAACGCGUAUGCAAUCUACCUUAAUCAGGGGGAUAGCCUCUCGAAAGAGAGAUUAAUACCGCAUAACAUUAUGAUAUGGCAUCAUAUUAUAAUCAAACAUUUAUGGGAUUAAGAUGAGCAUGCGUGACAUUAGCUAGUUGGUGAGGUAACGGCUCACCAAGGCAACGAUGUCUAGGGGAUCUGAGAGGAUGACCCCCCACACUGGUACUGAGACACGGACCAGACUCCUACGGGAGGCAGCAGUAAGGAAUAUUGGUCAAUGGACGCAAGUCUGAACCAGCCAUGCCGCGUGCAGGAAGACGGCCCUAUGGGUUGUAAACUGCUUUUAUACGGGAAUAAACCUUCUUUCGUGAAAGAAGCUGAA
rnacentral:rRNA from 1 species